GACGAACCGUGCGAACGUUGUUCGGAAUCACUAGGCUUAAAGGGCGCGUAGGCGGGCUGCCAAGUCUGGGGUGAAAUCCUCCGGCUCAACCGGAGAACUGCCUUAGAUACUGGCGAUCUCGAGGAGGGUAGGGGCAUGCGGAACUAUGGGUGGAGCGGUGAAAUGCGUUGAUAUCCAUAGGAACUCCGGUGGCGAAGGCGGCGUGCUGGACCCUUUCUGACGCUGAGGCGCGAAAGCCAGGGGAGCAAACGGG
rnacentral:rRNA from 1 species